rnacentral:misc_RNA from 1 species
GAUGAAGAACGUAGCGAAAUGCGAUACGUAGUGUGAAUUGCAGAAUUCAGUGAAUCAUCGAAUCUUUGAACGCACAUUGCACCUCUCGGUAUUCCGGGAGGUAUGCCUGUUCGAGCGUCAUUUGUACCCUCAAGCUCUGCUUGGUGUUGGGUGUUUGUUCCGCCUCUGUGUGUGAACUCGCCUCAAAACAAUUGGCAGCCGGCGUACUUGUUUCGGAGCGCAGCACAUUUUGCGAUCCAGAUCAACGUACAGCGGCAUCCAAGAAGCCUUAUUUAACGCUCUUGACCUCGGAUCAGGUAGGGAUGCCCGCUGAACUUAAGCAUAUCAAUAAGCGGAGGA